GACGAACGCUGGCGGCGUGCCUAAUACAUGCAAGUCGAGCGAAUGGAUUAAGAGCUUGCUCUUAUGAAGUUAGCGGCGGACGGGUGAGUAACACGUGGGUAACCUGCCCAUAAGACUGGGAUAACUCCGGGAAACCGGGGCUAAUACCGGAUAACAUUUUGAACCGCAUGGUUCGAAAUUGAAAGGCGGCUUCGGCUGUCACUUAUGGAUGGACCCGCGUCGCAUUAGCUAGUUGGUGAGGUAACGGCUCACCAAGGCAACGAUGCGUAGCCGACCUGAGAGGGUGCUCGGCCACACUGGGACUGAGACACGGCCCAGACUCCUACGGGAGGCAGCAGGAGGGAAUCUUCCGCAAUGGACGAAAGUCUGACGGAGCAACGCCGCGUGAGUGAUGAAGGCUUUCGGGUCGUAAAACUCUGUUGUUAGGGAAGAACAAGUGCUAGUUGAAUAAGCUGGCACCUUGACGGUACCUAACCAGAAAGCCACGGCUAACUACGUGCCAGCCGCCGCCGUAA
rnacentral:rRNA from 1 species